GAAAUAUAAAUCUCUAACCAGUUGUACCUUUCAGUGUUCUUGUUUCACACUGUUUUAGUGUUAUAACAGUCUUUAUGCCCUAUAAGGGACUAUAAAGUGUAGCAGAACUUGGAGCAGAAGAUAGAGCCAAUAUGGUAAUCAGGCCACAGCCAGAGUCAUCCGGCACAGGGAAUUGAACUACCUGAUCAGUGGAAGCAACUACACCUGUAUUGUCAGACCACAAGCACCACUGCAAGGCUAAAUCUCCUGGAAGUACCACAGCCCAAUCUGCUACCAGUUAUGACAACUGUGUAUUGCCUGUGUUCCAGAUCAUUCAGUGUGACAUACAUACACAAUGACUUCCAUGGUGUCACCAGGGAGCUGCAGCAUUUAAGCCCAGCUGAACCAGUCCAUUGCCAUUGAGCAUCUGGGGCAGUUAUGUCAUGCUUAAUCUGUGACAGACAGUGCCACAUCUAUGAUGCAGCCAUAUCUACCACCACUGGGCCUCAAAAUGCUGCCUGUCACCUGAGCACACUGAUGCUUGGGCAACUCAGGACUUUGGUACUACCUUGGGCGUACGAAGCAAGGACCCUGCCCUACCUGUCUUAGCCGAGGCAUCAACUGAGGAUCUUUGCACCCUUGAAAAUUGCAGUGUGAUGCAGCCACAUUCACAUUCAGCCACUGCUACCAGGUUGCCCAUGCUUUGACCAGGGGAAACGAGCUUCUCGUAACACAGUGGCAAAGAGGCACAGGAUAAUCCAUCAUAGUCCAUCGUACUGGGAGACAUUGUGAUGUAGUAUUCACUUCACUCACCAUCACCACUUACAGUUUCCAAGUCCCAUGAUUGUCCUCAAACAGCAAUAAAGAAGUCAAAGAAGUUAUUGUAACCUCACGAGGACCUUCUACUGCUGCACCUGCAUCCAUGCUGUCAGAGAACCAUUGCCCACACCCAGCUUUCCUGUCAUCCCAUUAUAAUUGGUGUCAGAAGUGGGACGCUUCUGCUGCCGGGCCUCGAAUCCCUACCUGUCACCUGAGCACCUAGACACAUGGGCAACUCAGCUCUUUGCCACUGUCUUGGGAGUAUGACUCAAGGGCACAGCCAUCCCUGCCUCCUACUAUAAUUGGUGUCAGAAGAGCUCUUGAAGAUGAAAGUGGGCAACCAGAAGUUAGUAGCCAGUUCCCUGGUUCCAUUGCAGCACUUUUCUGAAAGGGGAGUGAGUGGAUGGAAGGCAGAGUCCUGAAGAAUCGUCUGGAGCAAGCAAGGGGACGGUGUCCAUUCAAGAUGUACAUUUCUUCGAAACCUGGAAAGUAUGGGAUAAAAGUGUGGACUGCUGUAGAGUGAGAGACCAAUAUGUUAUAAAUGCACAAGUUUAGAUAGGGAAAUCUGCUGAAGGAAGGGAAAUAAAUCAAAAGAAACAAAUGUGACAUGAUUUAGUUGAUCACCUGAAGGGAAGGGGUAGAAACAUUACCACUGAUAACUUUUUUUUACAAGUUUUGAUUUGGGACAAGAACUUCUUGCUCAUAAAUUGACACUUAUGGGAACUCUUUGGGCUAACUGAAAAGAGAUACCAAAAGAAAUGUUGCUGUCAAAACAGAGGCGUCCAUUAUCGACCACUUUUGGGUAUGCACAGAAUACUGCUUUAACUUUGUAUGUUCUUACACAAAAUAAAUCAGUCACUUUGUUGCCUACUCUACACCAAACAUUUGAUGAAGUGAGCAUGAGCACAAAAAACCUGACAAUAAUAAUAUUCUACAACUCAACAAAGUCAGGAGUUGAUACAGUUGAUAAGAUGGCUAGACAGUAUUCAGUGAAAUGUGGAACAAAAAGGUGACCGCUUGCUGUAUUUUUUGAUAUACUAGAUUUAGCUUGUCUCAAUGCUUAUGUUCUGUAUUGUAAAUUUUUACGUGAUAUGAGAAGUAAAAAUUCAAUAAGAGAAUUCUUCUCAGAACUAGGAAAAGAACUACUCAAACCUUACAUUGAAUGACGAAUCCUGUCACCCCAGUUCAGAACACAACCCAUUCGUUCAGCAAUAAUAUCUUCAGGCUUCAAAGAUCUUCGGAAGGAAAAAUAACUCCAUAACCAGGAAUCUGAUGUUCCAAACCUGAAAAGAAAAUGGUGUGAGUCCUGCCCAAGGUCAAAGGACAGGAAAGUGAAUCAACAAUGUGACUGGUGUCACAAGUUUGCCUGUAAAGAACACGCUAGGAUAAGUGUGUUGUGUAAUGAUUGUUGAUCAUAUGACAAGGAGAGCAAGCAGGAGUGCAUUUCUAAUAAAAUUACAUAUGGCAGAAAAAGUAACCAGAUGUAUUCAGUGACUGUGUCCGAGAGAAUACUGUAAGAAGCAUUUUAGUCGACUCAGUGUAAUGAUACUCUCGAGUCUCUAUAACUGUUAUUACAUGUACAACUGCUUAAUAUAUGUCAAAGGAAAUACACAGAAAUUUACCCCAAGAAUGAAUGUACAUUCACACAGUACCAGAAAAAACUGCAUGCUAGUUGUACAAUUUUCAAUACAGUCAGUGAUACAUAACAGCCACAAGAAACUGAGUCUGAAGAUGUAUAAUAAACUGCCCCCCGCUGUAAAAAUCCUAAUUCUAAGUAAAUUUAAUGUUGUAAUAGAGGUAUGGUUUAAAAAUAAGGCAUGUUAUUCAGUGGAAGAACACCUUCAAAGUAACAUGAAAGACAUGUAUAACAAGGAAAAAUGCCUAAUUACUAGGAAAUAAGAAUAUCAUAUUUGUGUACUUGUUCAAAUCAUGUGUGUGAUCAUAAUCAUUCAAAUCACAUGUGUGAUCAUAAUAUACUUGUUCAUAUAUGAAACAUGUAAAUUUACCAUAAUAUAACGUGAAAUUGGAAGAAAGUGUGUGUACUUCUGUAAUCAAUAUGCAGAUACAUAAUGGAAGAGAUGGUGUAUAUAUUCAUGCUUAAUUGUCUAGAUGUGUAAUGAGAUAUACUCAAAUGUUAAUUAUGUAAUGAUUAUCAUCAAUUUGUAAAUGUCUUAAAACUAUUUGUAUUUAACUAAAAAUACCUGUACAUAUAUAUCUUCACUUGAUGACAUUAAUUACCUGGUAAACAUACUAAAGGUUAGUAAACAAACAGUCAUUCUUGACCUUUGUCACUUAAUUAUGACUGUCAUCAGUGAACUGUUUGUGAAUAUAUUAAUUCUGUAAAACUUGUGUUCUUUCAUGUUUAUCUAUUGAUGUACUGUACAGUCAACUCUGAUGUCAUUGUGGUUAAAAUAAACAAUGAUUUGUUAGUAAA